CGCUGGCGGUAUGCUUAACACAUGCAAGUCGAACGGAAACGAUACUAGCUUGCUAGUAGGCGUCGAGUGGCGGACGGGUGAGUAACGCGUAGGAAUCUGCCUGAUAGUGGGGGAUAGCCCGGAGAAAUUCGGAUUAAUACCGCAUAAUCUAUUCGUAGUAAAGUGGGGGACUUUCGAGCCUCACGCUAUCAGAUGAGCCUGCGUAAGAUUAGCUUGUUGGUAGGGUAAAAGCCUACCAAGGCGACGAUCUUUAGCUGGUCUGAGAGGAUGAUCAGCCACAUCGGGACUGAGACACGGCCCGAACUCCUACGGGAGGCAGCAGUGGGGAAUAUUGGACAAUGGGGGCAACCCUGAUCCAGCAAUACCGCGUGUGUGAAGAAGGCCUGAGGGUUGUAAAGCACUUUCAAUUGUGAAGAAAAGUUAACGGUUAAUAACCGUUAGCCUUGACGUUAACUUUAGAAGAAGCACCGGCUAACUCCGUGCCAGCAGCCGCGGUAAUACGGAGGGUGCAAGCGUUAAUCGGAAUUACUGGGCGUAAAGCGUGCGUAGGCGGUUUAUUAAGUCAGAUGUGAAAGCCCCGGGCUUAACCUGGGAACUGCAUUUGAAACUGGUAAACUAGAGUAUGGUAGAGGAAAGUGGAAUUUCUGGUGUAGCGGUGAAAUGCGUAGAUAUCAGAAGGAACAUCAAUGGCGAAGGCAGCUUUCUGGACCAAUACUGACGCUGAGGUACGAAAGCGUGGGUAGCAAACAGGAUUAGAUACCCUGGUAGUCCACGCCGUAAACGAUGAUAACUAGCCGUUGGGGGGAUUUACCCUUUAGUGGCGAAGCUAACGCGUUAAGUUAUCCGCCUGGGGAGUACGGCC
rnacentral:rRNA from 1 species